rnacentral:rRNA from 1 species
UACGUAGGGUGCAAGCGUUGUCCGGAGUUACUGGGCGUAAAGCGCACGCAGGCGGUCUGCUAAGUUUGGAGUGACAGUUGGUGGCUUAACUGCCAAAGUGCUUCGAAAACUGACAGACUUGAGGGCUUCAGAGGGACACGGAAUCCGGGUGGAGUGGUGAAAUGCGUAGAGAUCCGGAGGAACACCAAAGGCGAAGGCAGUGUCCUGGGGAGUACCUGACGCUCAGGUGCGAAAGCCAGGGGAGCGAACGGG